UCAAACUUCACAGUCAUCGGCACGUUUUCACGAUACGACGCCGAUUCUGAACGGAGAUUCCUAGAACCAAUAACGUGAACCAUGAAUCACGAAAUCGAAUUACGCAGUGAAGUAAAAUUGACGAGAAGUCAACAAAUAGGAGGAGGUUUGUUUGGGGGAAAAACAGUAAACCCUAACAGAAACAGAAUUGAAAUUGAAAAUUGUGAAUCGAUGUUCGAUAGUUAUGAUGAGUUGCUAGGAAGGAAAGAGGAGGGGAGUACAAUAUAAAUAAUAACCGUGUACACGUGAUCGAGCGAGUAUCACGUGCGUGAUUGUUUCCGUGUGUGUUGGCAGACACGUAUGAAUUAGAUGGAUAUAUGUGGGUCCCACUUUUCUUGGGAUUUAAAGUUGACAAUGACUGCUGGCAAAUUACUUAACAAAUCAGCUCUUAACAAGUGGAUUCUUCUUUUUUUUUUUUUUUAUGCUAAACAACACAACAACAACAACAACAAAAAACAUAAUUAAAAAAGGAAAAGUAACAAGACUAAUUCACAAAAUCCAAACAAUAAUUAGAGAGAGGUGACAAACUUGAUGCGAAGAGGAUGAAAUUUUGCAGCGUUUGUUGAGAGGAGCGUGUUCUUCUUCAAUCGAAUCCUCGAUCUCAAACUUCACAGUCAUCGGCACGUUUUCACGAUACGACGCCGAUUCUGAACGGAGAUUCCUAGAACCAAUAACGUGAACCAUGAAUCACGAAAUCGAAUUACGCAGUGAAGUAAAAUUGACGAGAAGUCAACAAAUAGGAGGAGGUUUGUUUGGGGGAAAAACAGUAAACCCUAACAGAAACAGAAUUGAAAUUGAAAAUUGUGAAUCGAUGUUCGAUAGUUA
rnacentral:lncRNA from 1 species